CCUACGGGAGGCAGCAGUGGGGAAUAUUGCACAAUGGGCGAAAGCCUGAUGCAGCGACGCCGCGUGAGGGAUGACGGCCUUCGGGUUGUAAACCUCUUUCAGCAGGGAAGAAGCGAGAGUGACGGUACCUGCAGAAGAAGCGCCGGCUAACUACGUGCCAGCAGCCGCGGUAAUACGUAGGGCGCAAGCGUUGUCCGGAAUUAUUGGGCGUAAAGAGCUCGUAGGCGGCUUGUUGCGUCGGUUGUGAAAGCCCGGGGCUUAACCCCGGGUCUGCAGUCGAUACGGGCAGGCUAGAGUGUGGUAGGGGAGAUCGGAAUUCCUGGUGUAGCGGUGAAAUGCGCAGAUAUCAGGAGGAACACCGGUGGCGAAGGCGGAUCUCUGGGCCAUUACUGACGCUGAGAGCGAAAGCGUGGGGAGCGAACAGGAUUAGAUACCCUGGUAGUCCACGCCGUAAACGUUGGGAACUAGGUGUUGGCGACAUUCCACGUCGUCGGUGCCGCAGCUAACGCAUUAAGUUCCCCGCCUGGGGAGUACGGCCGCAAGGCUAAAACGUUAAUGAAUUGACGG
rnacentral:rRNA from 1 species